rnacentral:rRNA from 1 species
UGGGGAAUUUUGGACAAUGGGCGAAAGCCUGAUCCAGCAAUGCCGCGUGUGUGAAGAAGGCCUUCGGGUUGUAAAGCACUUUUGUCCGGAAAGAAAUCCUUGGCUCUAAUACAGUCGGGGGAUGACGGUACCGGAAGAAUAAGCACCGGCUAACUACGUGCCAGCAGCCGCGGUAAUACGUAGGGUGCAAGCGUUAAUCGGAAUUACUGGGCGUAAAGCGUGCGCAGGCGGUUUGCUAAGACCGAUGUGAAAUCCCCGGGCUCAACCUGGGAACUGCAUUGGUGACUGGCAGGCUAGAGUAUGGCAGAGGGGGGUAGAAUUCCACGUGGUAGCAGUGAAAUGCGUAGAGAUGUGGAGGAAUACCGAUGGCGAAGGCAGCCCCUGGGCCAAUACUGACGCUCAUGCACGAAAGCGUGGGGAGCAAAACAGGAUUAGAUACCCUGGUAGUCCACGCCCUAAACGAUGUCAACUAGUUG